UACGUAGGGUGCAAGCGUUAAUCGGAAUUACUGGGCGUAAAGAGCGUGUAGGCGGCCCGGUAAGUCCGCUGUGAAAGUCGGGGGCUCAACCCUCGAAUGCCGGUGGAUACUGUCGGGCUAGAGUGCGGAAGAGGCGAGUGGAAUUCCUGGUGUAGCGGUGAAAUGCGCAGAUAUCAGGAGGAACACCGAUUGCGAAGGCAGCUCGCUGGGACGUAACUGACGCUGAGACGCGAAAGCGUGGGGAGCAAACAGG
rnacentral:rRNA from 1 species